rnacentral:rRNA from 1 species
CAGUCGCCACGGUAAAACGGAGGGUGCAAGCGUUAUCCGGAUUUAUUGGGUUUAAAGGGUCCGUAGGCGGAUCUGUAAGUCAGUGGUGAAAUCUCACAGCUUAACUGUGAAACUGCCAUUGAUACUGCAGGUCUUGAGUAAAUUUGAAGUGGCUGGAAUAAGUAGUGUAGCGGUGAAAUGCAUAGAUAUUACUUAGAACACCAAUUGCGAAGGCAGGUCACUAAGAUUUAACUGACGCUGAUGGACGAAAGCGUGGGGAGCGAACAGGAUUAGAUACCCCUGUAGUCCCUGUCUCUUAUAC